rnacentral:misc_RNA from 1 species
AGUUAAAUAGUACGUGAAAUUGUUGAAAGGGAAACGAUUGAAGUCAGUCAUGCUAGUGAAAAUUCAGUUUGGUGGGUUUUGGGUUCAGGAGUUGAGGCAGGGUCAAACCGUUUCUCUUUUGAACUUGGAAUUUGUCAGAUGCACUUUUUCUUUGGCAGGUCAGCGUCGAUUUCGGAGGUUGUAAAAUACUUGGGGAAAAGUAGCUCUGCUUCGGGAGAGUGUUAUAGACCUUGGGUGAUGCGGCCUGCGGGAUCGAGGAUUGCAGCAAAUGCUUUUGGCUUGUCGCCUGAUCUCUGGACGUCAUCUCGCUUGUAUCAACAUUCUUGGUACCGGUGAGUAAUGGUGCUCAUAGGUUAGAGCGAUCAAAAAUUUUGCUAAGGAUGCUGACGUAAUGGCUUUAAA